AUUUUUGACAUUUUACUCUAUUCAACUCAAGGUCUUACAGCAAAACUGUGGUCCACAAAGACAUUCAUCAGACCACUGACCACUUCAAUCGAUUUGUCUGUCUUCCUUCCUUUCAGAACCACAAUUCUUUUGACACAAACUGCCUGUAAAGCCACUAACAAUCUCUUUCCAUCCAACCAGUUCCCUCUGGAAUUGCUGAAGAACCUUCCUUCUACUGGUGCUGUCCUUCCAGAGAAGCAACGUUUCACCCAGGAGCAUGAUGCCCGAGGGACACUACAUGGAGAAAAUUAAUAGGUAAUGACUUAAACAUCUGGGGGCCAGCUGAAGAGAAGGCAGGUAAAAGAGCUGCUGAGAAGAGCAGAACUGAAAAAUGAUGCACACAUCUCUCACCCUAAUGGCAACUCAGGUUGAAACUCAUCACCAUUUUAAAACACCAAGGCAGUCUGAAAGGUUUACCCCAGUGAGCAUCUUGCAAGGCUGUCAGAGUGGAAACCUCAUUGAGAAGCAGCAGCAAGUCAAGCACGACAUUCCAGAGAGGGCUCCCCUCAGCCACAUUACAGUAACUGGAUCUUCUCAUGACCUUCAAGAUGCCACUUCAGUUCCCUCCAAAGAGACUUAAGCAGCCUCUCUGCCAUUAAGAUUUUCCUUCAUUUGUCAACAGAAAGCUGCUCAAUUGCUAGCCUGAGCAAAUUUACAUAGAAAUUACCAGUGAUA
rnacentral:lncRNA from 1 species